rnacentral:rRNA from 1 species
UGUGUAGUAGUUCAGUAGUUUGAUCCGUGGCUACAGGAGAACGCUGGCGGCGCGCCUAACACAUGCAAGUCGAACGGAGAAAGAGACAGCUUGCUGGAUCUUUCUUAGUGGCGGACGGGUGAGUAACACGUGAGCAACCUGCCCCUCAGAGUGGAAUAACGUUUGGAAACGAACGCUAAUACCGCAUAACACCAUUGGAUGGCAUCAUCCGAUGGUCAAAGAUUUUAUCGCUGAGGGAUGGGCUCGCGUCCGAUUAGGUAGUUGGUGAGAUAACAGCCCACCAAGCCGACGAUCGGUAGCCGGACUGAGAGGUUGAACGGCCACAUUGGGACUGAGACACGGCCCAG